AAUGUACGUUGGCGGCGUGGAUUAGGCAUGCAAGUCGAGCGAGGACCGUAGCAAUACGGGGACAGCGGCGAAAGGGAGAGUAAUACGUGGAUACCUACCCUCGGGUUCGGGAUAGCUGCGGGAAACUGCAGGUAAUACCGAAUAACAUCUCCGGAUCAAAGGUGUGAUUCCGCCCGGGGAGGGGUCCGCGUCCUAUUAGCUUGUUGGUGAGGUAACGGCUCACCAAGGCGAAGAUGGGUACGGGGUGUGAGAGCAUGCCCCCGCUCACUGGGACUGAGACACUGCCCAGACACCUACGGGUGGCUGCAGUCGAGAAUCGUCGGCAAUGGGCGCAAGCCUGACCGAGCGACGCCGCGUGCGAGAUGAAGGCCUUCGGGUUGUAAAUCGCUGUCAGUGGGGAGGAAAUGCCAUAGGGUUCUCUCUAUGGUUUGACCUAUCCGCAGAGGAAGGAUGGGCUAAGUUCGUGCCAGCCGCCGCCGUAA
rnacentral:rRNA from 1 species